UGCCUGUACCAUAACCGACACAGGUGGGUAAGUAGAGUAUACUAAGGGGCGCGAGAUAACUCUCUCUAAGGAACUCGGCAAAAUAACUCCGUAACUUCGGGAGAAGGAGUGCCUUAUUCUUAAGGUUGCAAUAACAAGAUCCAAGCAACUGUUUAUCAAAAACACAGGUCUCCGCUAAGUCGUAAGACGAUGUAUGGGGGCUGACGCCUGCCCAGUGCCAGAAGGUUAAAGAAGUCGGUUAGCAAUAGCAAAGCCGGUAACUGAAGCCCUGGUGAACGGCGGCCGUAACUAUAACGGUCCUAAAGUAGCGAAAUUCCUUGUCGGGUAAGUUCCGACCCGCACGAAAGGCGUAAUGAUUUGGAUGCUGUCUCGGAGAGGGGCUCGGUGAAAUAGACUUGUCUGUGAAGAUGCGGACUACCUGCACCAGGACAGAAAGACCCUAUGAAGCUUCACUGUAACUUGAAAUUGAAAUUGGACUUUAUUCGCGCAGUAUAGGUGGGAGGCGUUGAUUAUAAUCUUGUGGGAUUAUUGGAGCCAUCAGUGAGAUACCACUCUUGUAAUGUUAGAUUUCUAACUUUGAAUCAUUAUCUGGUCAAAGGACAGUUUCAGGCGGGCAGUUUGACUGGGGCGGUCGCCUCCUAAACGGUAACGGAGGCGUACAAAGGUUUCCUCUGAACGGUUAGAAAUCGUAUCUAGAGUGUAAAGGCAUAAGGAAGCUUGACUGUGAGACCUACAAGUCGAGCAGGGACGAAAGUCGGUCUUAGUGAUCUGACGGUACUGAGUGGAAAGGCCGUCACUCAACGGAUAAAAGUUACUCUAAGGAUAACAGGCUGAUCUCCCCCAAGAGUUCACAUCGACGGGGAGGUUUGGCACCUCGAUGUCGGCUCAUCGCAUCCUGGGGCGGUAGUACGUCCCAAGGGUUGGGCUGUUCGCCCAUGAAAGCGGUACGCGAGCUGGGUUCAGAACGUCGUGAGACAGUUCGGUCCAUAUCCGGUGUAGGCGCUAGAAUAUUGAGAGGAGCCUUCUUUAGUACGAGAGGACCGAGAAGGACAUACCUCUGGUGUACCAGUUAUCGUGCCAACGGUAAACGCUGGGUAGCUAUGUAUGGAGUGGAUAACCGCUGAAAGCAUCUAAGUGGGAAGCCCACCUCAAGAUAAGUAUUCUCAUCACGUAAGUGAGUAAGGUCACGGUAAGACUAACCGUUUGAUAGGCAUUAAGUGUAAGUACAGUAAUGUAUGUGCUGAGAUGUCCUAAUAGACCGAGGACUU
rnacentral:rRNA from 1 species